rnacentral:rRNA from 1 species
AUUGAACGCUGGCGGCAGGCCUAACACAUGCAAGUCGAACGAGUGCCGGACGGGUGAGUAAUGUCUGGGAAACUGCCCGAUGGAGGGGGCUACCUACUGUAACCGGUAUCUAAUACCGCAUACCAUCGGAUCUGCCCAGUUGGGAUUAGAUAGUCGGUGGGGUAACGGCUCACCUAGGCGACGCUCCCUAGCUGGUCUGAGAGGAUGACCAGCCACACUGGAACUGAGACACGGUCCAGACUCCUACGGGAGGCAGCAGUGGGGAAUAUUGCACAAUGGGCGCAAGCCUGAUGCAGCCAUGCCGCGUGUAUGAAGAAGGCCUUCGGGUUGUAAAGUACUUUCAGCGAGGAGGCGUUAGUCGCAGAAGAAGCACCGGCUAACUCCGUGCCAGCAGCCGCGGUAAUUG